rnacentral:rRNA from 1 species
UUAUAUGGUCAAGAAGAGAAGCGCAAACGGUGGAUGCCUUGGCAGUAAGAGGCGAAGAAGGACGUGGAAUCCUGCGAAAAGCUAUGGGGAGCUGGAAACGAGCGUUGAGCCAUAGAUGUCCGAAUGGGGGAACCCGGCUGCAGCGAUGCGGUCAUUUGCAUUUGAAUACAUAGGAUGCAAAGGCGAACUCGGGGAACUGAAACAUCUAAGUACCCGAAGGAAAAGAAAUCAAGAGAGAUUCUCCAAGUAGCGGCGAGCGAACGGGGAGGAGCCUGGCGUGAUUUAUUAUUGAACUGAGUAGAACAAUUUGGGAAAGUUGGCCGAAGAGGGUGAAAGCCCCGUAUACGAAGGUUUGAUGAGGAACUAGGCACGCGAACAAGUAGGCCGGGACACGUGAAAUCCUGGUUGAAGAUGGGUGGACCAUCAUCCAAGGCUAAAUACUACUUACUGACCGAUAGUGAACCAGUACCGUGAGGGAAAGGUGAAAAGAACCCCGGAGAGGGGAGUGAAAUAGAAUCUGAAACCGUUUGCGUACAAGCAGUGGGAGCAUGGUUUAGGCUGUGUGACUGCGUACCUUUUGUAUAAUGGGUCAGCGAGUUACUUUCAGUGGCGAGGUUAACUGAAUAAGGGAGCCGUAGAGAAAUCGAGUCUGAAUAGGGCGAUAGUCGCUGGGAGUAGACCCGAAACCGGGCGAUCUAGCCAUGUGCAGGAUGAAGGUUGGGUAACACCAACUGGAGGUCCGAACCGGGUAAUGUUGAAAAAUUAUCGGAUGACGUGUGGCUAGGAGUGAAAGGCUAAUCAAGCCCGGAGAUAGCUGGUUCUCCCCGAAAGCUAUUUAGGUAGCGCCUCGUGAAUGAUUACUGGGGGUAGAGCACUGUUUCGGCUAGGGGGCUGUCAUGGCUUACCAAACCGAUGCAAACUCCGAAUACCGGCUAAUUGAAUCACGGGAGACACACGGCGGGUGCUAACGUCCGUCGUGGAGAGGGAAACAACCCAGACCGCCAGCUAAGGUCCCCAAGUACUAGUUAAGUGGGAAACGAUGUGGGAAGGCAUAGACAGCCAGGAGGUUGGCUUAGAAGCAGCCACCCUUUAAAGAAAGCGUAAUAGCUCACUGGUCGAGUCGGCCUGCGCGGAAGAUGUAACGGGGCUAAAACUAGUCACCGAAGCUGCGGAUGUGCGCGAAGGCGCACGUGGUAGGGGAGCGUUCUGUAGGCUGAUGAAGGUGCAUUGAGAAGUGUGCUGGAGGUAUCAGAAGUGCGAAUGCUGACAUGAGUAACGAUAAUGUGGGUGAAAAGCCCACACGCCGGAAGUCCCAGGUUUCCUGCACGACGUUAAUCGGAGCAGGGUGAGUCGGCCCCUAAGGCGAGGCUGAAGAGCGUAGUCGAUGGGAACCAGGUUAAUAUUCCUGGACUUUUUAUAAGUGGUGAAGUGGGGACGAAGAAGGCUAGGUGAGCCAGGCGUUGGUUGUC